UACGAAGGGAGCUAGCGUUGUUCGGAAUCACUGGGCGUAAAGCGCACGUAGGCGGAUUUGUCAGUCAGGGGUGAAAUCCCGGGGCUCAACCUCGGAACUGCCUUUGAUACAGCAAGUCUUGAGUUCGAGAGAGGUGGGUGGAAUUCCUAGUGUAGAGGUGAAAUUCGUAGAUAUUGGGAAGAACACCGGUGGCGAAGGCGGCACUCUGGGCCAGUACUGACGCUGAGGAGCGAAAGCGUGGGGAGCGAACAGG
rnacentral:rRNA from 1 species